CUUUGUCCCACUUGAGCCCGGU
rnacentral:piRNA from 1 species